UGGUGUUUUCGAUUUAAUUAUGUUAAAUUUUUGUAGGGUAAAAGAGAAUGUUAAACUCAGGAUUCUUGUGGCCUUAACGACAUCCAAACACGUUAAAAAACGCAGCUCUCACGUGACGUGUGAGACUAACGACUUCAAAAGUGAGAGUGAAACUUGUUCAGUUAGCUUCAAAAGUGGGAGUAUGGCGAUAUCAAUCCAUAAAACCCAUUCAAGAACGCAGUACUCAGCUCUCAUUGUCUUCUCUCUAAAGCUUCUCUCUCUAAAAGCUUCCUCAUAGAUAAGUUCAAAACCCUAGUUCAAAACCGAUUAUGAGUUCUUCUCAUGGGUUUUCUCAACAAUCAAAUAACCAUUGUUUAAUAUUAUUUUCGUGAUAUCUUCGUCUGGUUUAGAUUUGAUCGUUUUUUCAUAUGCAUUUUUUUUUUCUUUUCAAGAGUUUCCUUUCCUUUUCUUGGUUUUCUCGGCAACCAAACGGCUGUUCUUGUAGGGUUUCGACAAGGGAAUUCAGUGAAGAUUGUGGUGUUUUCGAUCUUCGGACUGUUAAAUUUCUCAAACUGAACUAUUCUUUCAGGAAACUUAGGGCUCGGAGAGGAGAGGAGUGACAAUUGAGAGGGUUUCGAUAAGGGGAUUCGGUGAAGAUUGUGGUGUUUUCGAUCUUCGGACUGUUAAAUUUGUCAAACUAAACAAUUCUUUUAGGUGAUAACCUCUUUUAUUCAUUCGUUUAUUUAUGAAGAUC